UUGUGAGCCAUACGCAACACGCAUACGCAAGCGCCGUAUGCUAUGACGUCACAAGGGCGGGGUCCUCAGUAGUGGCUUUGGACCUCGACGGUGGUGUGAAGGGGUGUGCAACACGUGGAAAGGGGUCGCGUUGCUCGCUCGCAAACUAUCUUUUCCUUUCACCUCAUACGUUCCUACGCAGUCCACAUUCAUACGAAAUGAAACAUAUAUGUUAUACACAUAUUUUCUUUCAACUAUCGUGUAGAUUUAUUUCUAUAGGUGUACCAAGUGACGUAAUUCUACAGUGACUUUCUUUCUUCUACAUAAGAGAAACUACCAUUGGAGUUUUUUUACCUUUCGUCCAGAAAAAGUAGGUCAACGAGUAGGGCGACGAGUCGACCCUUCGAGCUGGCCCUUCAGCUCCUUGAACGUUCUGUAUCGUUUCGUAGGACUUGUAGCAUCGUCUUAGAGUAUGUAAUCGAGUAGUACAAUGUGUCUCUAGAACGCGUAGAUCGAUGGCUGGAUGUUAAGCUCUAUGCAUCCGAAUUGUGUUUAGUUCGAUUUCGCUUGAAUAGAGAAGAGCCUUCGAAUAUGCUGUAGAGUUUACGAGAUAACAAUGGAACAGCUUGUUUGGAAUAAUUGGAAGAUAUGUGAGAAGAUUAAAAACAACAAUUUAUUUCAAAGAUGUAUAUUUGUCGAGAAUAAACGUCUUAUAUUGUCGCGAGUGACAUUUUA